UACGUAGGGACCAAGCGUUGUCCGGAAUCAUUGGGCGUAAAGAGCGUGUAGGCGGCUUGUUAAGUCUUGCGUGAAAUCUCGGGGCUCAACCCCGAGCGGUCGUGAGAAACUGGCAGGCUCGAGUUCGGUAGGGGAGACUGGAAUUCCUGGUGUAGCGGUGAAAUGCGCAGAUAUCAGGAGGAACACCGGUGGCGAAGGCGGGUCUCUGGGCCGAUACUGACGCUGAGGAGCGAAAGCGUGGGGAGCGAACAGG
rnacentral:rRNA from 1 species